rnacentral:rRNA from 1 species
GAUGAACGCUGGCGGCGUGCUUAACACAUGCAAGUCGAACGAAGCACUUUAUUUGAUUUCCUUCGGGACUGAUUAUUUUGUGACUGAGUGGCGGACGGGUGAGUAACGCGUGGGUAACCUGCCUUGUACAGGGGGAUAACAGUUGGAAACGGCUGCUAAUACCGCAUAAGCGCACGGCAUCGCAUGAUGCAGUGUGAAAAACUCCGGUGGUAUAAGAUGGACCCGCGUUGGAUUAGCUAGUUGGUGAGGUAACGGCCCACCAAGGCGACGAUCCAUAGCCGACCUGAGAGGGUGACCGGCCACAUUGGAACUGAGACACGGCCCAAACUCCUACGGGAGGCAGCAGUGGGGAAUAUUGCACAAUGGGCGAAAGCCUGAUGCAGCGACGCCGCGUGAGCGAAGAAGUAUUUCGGUAUGUAAAGCUCUAUCAGCAGGGAAGAUAAUGACGGUACCUGACUAAGAAGCACCGGCUAAAUACGUG